CAACGGGAGAGGCAGGCACACGGCCCCCAAACAAAGGAGACCUACUCCAGGUGGAGAUCACUAAGGCCUACCUGGCCAAGCAGGUGGACGAGAUCACACUGCAGCAGGCGGACGUGGUCUUGAUCCUGGAGCAGGAAGAUGGAUGGCUCUAUGGUGAGAGGCUGCGGGAUGGAGAGACGGGCUGG